CUGCUGUGACUCGCUAGCUCCAAUUGCGGCCCCCGCGGCCCCGCCUCGCCUCCCGGAACCGGAGCCGGCAGAGCACGCUCGCAGCUGCGUCAGCCCCGACGCCUGUCUCCUCCAGCCUGAGCCCCGCGAGCGGUAGGCGCAGGGGAGGCCCUCCUCAGGUCUGGGGUUCUAGGAGGCAUGAGUGUGUGGACAAGGCUGACGGUUGCGGAGGCGCAGAGGGGCCUAGGGUUCAAAGCAGUUAAGCAGACAGUGUCAAGGAGUGUCAGUUGCUUUGUUUGGACUUGACCUCCCCACUCCAGGGUAUUCAGAGCUAGCCUCACACCGCCCUGGGAUGGAAGGCUCCCCUAGGCCCUCACCACGCCUUAAGGCAGGACCCCAGACCAGUGGCCAUCCAGCAGGUCCUUGGUUCCUCCCAGUAAUAAGGAGCUCGCUACUAAGAACGAUCUUAACACCCCCUGGGUCAUUCAUUUAUUCAACAGAUGUUUACCAGGCACUUACUAUGUGGCAGAGACUGGGCACUGGUUUAGAUAAUGAGGAUUUAGCUGUGACGAAACCAAGCCUUUUGGUCAAUGUUCCAGGAUUCUUCUGAGUGUGUGGAUCACUUCCCCCUGGAAGCCCUCCUAGCUCUACCCUCUGAGUUAAGCCCCUCUUCUUUGCUCUAAUAGUUCCCAGCCUUCCCCACCACCACCACACCUCCACUUCCUUAACCCAGAGAAGGCAGAGGCUCUUCUGGUUUGGACCUGACCAAGGUGUUUGGUGAUGACUGAUGCACCAAUGCCCAGUGGAAGCUGAAUCCUGAGCUUUGAGAAAUCCCCACGGCUUUCAGCUCUGCCGUCUGGAGCUAGGCUGGUCCAGGGAAAACCUUGCUCCUGCCUUGUGGUACAGCCCCUAGAGCAGGUAUCAUGGACAAACGUGUGGGGCAGGAAGCCAGGACUCCAGGAGCUGCCCGUCUGAGGUUAAGCCCAAGGGUCAGAAGGCCUGGGGCCCUCACCCACAAAGAAGGACAUGGGCAUGUGUUUUAACACAGGUGGUAGUUGAAAUCUGGGGGCAGGAAGGGCAGCUGCAUGUUUCACACCAAGGGCAGAUGGCCAUACUGGGAGACUUCCCCAUGGUCUGAGGGGAAGGAACCCCCCUCUCCCCACUGGGGAACAGCCCACUUCCCAGAACAACAUCUCUGUGACCCUGACUUCCUCUGUCCACUCCUGUUCUUUCUUCUGUCUGGAAUCUCCCUAUCUCUUCUCAAGGCCAGCUCAUUCUCAUCCUUCCACUUGCUGCUCAAAUGUCACCUUCCUGGUCCACCCUAUCUAAAAUUCAUCCCCUCCUCUGGUUCCCUUUAUCCAACCACCUCACCUUCUUCAGAACACUUACACGGCCGCUAUUCACUGGGAUUGUUGCCUGGCUUCCUCCACUAGAAUACAAGCUCCAUGAAGGCAGAAAACUUGCCUUUCACCUGCCUUAUUUUUUUUUAAUAUUUAUUUAUAUAUGUGGCUGUACCAGGUCUUAGUUGCGGCAUGUGGGAUCUAGUUCCCUGGCCAGGGGUUGAACCCAGGCCCCCUGCAUUGGGAACACAGAGUCUUAGCCACUGGGCCACCAGGGAAGUCCCUCACCUGCCUUAUUUCCACAAGCUGUGCCCUGCGUGGAGGGUGUUUGUUGAAUGAAUGAAGUUUUGUUCCAGAAUCACAUAAAGAAUGAAGCUAAAAGUCAGGAAAACCAAAUCCUGCUCUGCUACUAAUUUUUUUUUAAAUAAAUUUAUUUAUUUUUGGCUGCAUUGGGUGUUUGUUGCUGUGUGCAGGCUUUCUCUAGUUGCUGAGAGCGGGGGCUACUCUGUGUUGCGGUGCACAGGCUUCUCAUUGCGGUGGCUUCUCUUGUUGCGAAACACGGGCUUUAGGUGCAUGGGCUUCAGUAGUUGUGGCACACGGGCUCAGUAGUUGUGGCUCGCAGGCUCUAGAGCGCAGGCUCAGUAGUUGUGGCACACGGGCUUAGUUACUCCACAGCAUGUGGGAUCUUCCCCGACCAGGGCUUGAACCUGUGUCCCCUGCAUUGGCAGGUGGAUUCUUAACCACUACGCCACCAGGGAAGUCCCUCUGCUUCUAAUUUUUAAAUUUAUCUCUUUAUAGCUACCUUUUACACAAAGGAUUGCCGUCAACUUUUAAAUAUACAGUGAGAGUGAGAUAGGUAGGUAGCUGGAUAAAAAAUCAGGCAGAGAAAGUUCAGGCAGGUUUAAAAGUAAAGGCCAUAGAGUCAUUUAUCACUGCCAAAUUUGUGCCUCAGUUAUGGUUUUUAGCUUCCUGGGAGCUAAAGUAAAAGGGAACAGUAUUUAUUACAUGAUUCAUCUUGUCUGUAAGGAAAAGCAUCCCAGUUCCUCAGGGAAAGCAAACUUUUUUGCUGGUAGGUGACGUAUAAGACAUUUCUCACGUAGGCCUUCAUAUGGGGAUGUGGUAGCUCUUGAUAGCAACUCUCCCAACUAAAGGCCUGUGCACGGAGAGCUGCAAUAUCAGCAGUGAGCAGGAUGCCAAGAACACCUCGGCACGUGCAGCUCUGCAGGGGGAACAAAGGGGUUUUCUGGGGCUCUGGCUAGACCCGGGGGGUGAGGCCUAGAAUCAAAGAGGGAUGGAGGGACUGAAUUCCUUUCAGAGCAGUGUGGCUCCCAGCUUUUGGGUUUACAUAGCCAAUAAUUUUAUUUUUAAGUUGGAUAUUUUCAAUACCAUCUAUAAAAUAUUCCUGUAAAAAAAAAAAGAGGAACCCAAAUUGGAUCAAGAUCUAAUCACCUCCUUAUAAAAACUGCAGAGGGGGAGAGGGCUUCCCUGGUGGCACAGUGGUUAAGAGUCCACCUGCCGAUGCAGGGGACACAGGUUCGUGCCCCGGUCCGGGAAGAUCCCACAUGCCGCGGAGCAGCUGGGCCCGUGAGCCAUGGCCGCUGAGCCUGCGCGUCCGGAGCCUGUGCUCCGCAACGGGAGAGGCCACAACAGUGAGAGGCCUGCGUACCGCAAAAAAAAAAAAAAAAAAAAGUUGGAUAUAUUGAUAUAAGGUUAGCCUUUUCUCAAUUAGCCAACUUUUCCCAAAUAAGAACGUGACAACAACAACAACAAAAAGAACAUGACAACAAAAUAGCUACCAUCUGCUGUCACCAUCAUUUCAUAAGAAAAAGGACUUUAUAACAUCAAAGAUGCAGUAAGGGCUGCAACUCUGAUAAAGGCCAGUCAGAAUGGAAUGUAUUUUGUUUUCUGGAAAAAUCACAGCAGACAGUACCGUGGAGCAGUACUGGUGUGUGGGCCCCAGCUUCAAACAAUCCUUCCCAAGCCUGUGUUUUUCAAACACCAGCUGCCAGUCCACCAGGCUUUAAAUCUAGACCUUGCCGCUUGCUGGCUGUGUGACCUCGGACCAGUUUACCUGACUUCUCAGGGCCUCAGUUUCCACAUCCGUAAAAUGAGUGGGAGCUGUAAUAAUGAUCCUCACCUUCUAGGGUUGCUGUGAAGAUUGAGCUGGUGCACGGGCGGUGCCUGCCGCCUAGAAAGUGCUCGGUGUACGGCAGUUGCCUGUAUUUUUACCUCCCAUGGGGAUGAUAAGGUCCACAGAUUUAUUGUGGAGAGCAGGAAGGCCUUUAACUUAGGUUUAUGGAAUGUCAGAGCUGGAACGGGCCUUCUAGAUCAUCUACAGAGGAAUCCUCUUACAGAAUGAGAAAGGGAGUCUUUGGGGGGGCUAUGCGAACAGCUGAUGGUCCCAGUGACAGAACAGUAAGUGGACUUCAAAGGGGCCCCUGAGUCCUGGGGCUCCGGGCUUUGCUAAACAAGUUGGUAGGGCCCCCAACCCCACCUCACAGGGCCAUUCCACUCUACGCUCAUGUCAAAGCCGGUCAAUUAAAGACACAUGGCGAGUGCACAGAGCUUUAGUUUACAGUGAGCCUUUGCAAACUUACUCCAACCCUAGAAGGUAGGGUGUCCUGGAAUGAGUAUCCCAUUUCACAGAAGCCAGGGGUGGAUUGGUAACCAAAGCCAUAAGCAGAGGCUCAGAAAUUCAAAAGAAGAAGGUUAGGUCGGUAUAAAAUGGCUGCCACUCCCUCUGCCUUUGGAAAAGUACUUCAACUACAAAGAAGUCAACUACUAACUCCAAGGAGAGCAGAAAGGAAAGCAGUUGCUAUGGCAACAUCUCUGGCAGCCUAUUUUCCAUCUUCCUCUGGUUCAAAACAACAGCUUCCAGCAGGUUCUGGCUGGGGGUAGGGAAGGUCUAACUCCAGCCCAGAAACAGCUCUUGGCCAAUCUCCUGCUAGAUUUCAGUGGCAAGAGAAGGUGGCAGCCAAUGAAGAGGCCUGGAGCUUGUGUCAUCGGCCUCUAGCCAGGUUGGAAUAAGCAGAAGGCAGGCACACGUGACCGUUUCCAUGGUGACCUCAGUUAGCAACCCGAAUGGUCCUGUUUAUGAGCACUGGAAAAUUCCACCCAGCCUCUGGCCUGAUUUUGUUACCUUCUCUGCCUCCUUCCUGCUCCAAGGCAAGGAUGAAGUCACUGCCAAUGUUUAACCCCUUCCUAAGAUGUGCCUGGCUCCCGUCAGAUCUGGGGGUCUGGGAGGCAGCUGCGUGCUUAGUAUGUGAGGGGGGAGGGAAGGUAGUGACAGACACCAUUUUACAGGGCACAUCAUUUGAGCCAGGCACUGUACUAAGCUCCUGACGGCCUCACAACCUGAGAAGGGGGGUACUACACGAUUUCAUUCCUAUUUCCCUGAGGACUAAACUUGAUUCAGAGAGGUUAAGUAACUUGCCACCAUCACAGGGUCCAGCCAGUGAGGGAGGAACCAGGCUGAGACCAAGUGUGUGGGACUCUCAAGGCCACUCUCUCCAUGACCCCUCUAUAAGGAUGGAAGAGUUGAAGAACCAGAUGGGGUGGGCGACAGGGACAGGGUGCGGAGGGGGAGAGAUCCAUGGUCUUCUGGGGAGCUGAGAGAAGGCUGAGUGGAAGAACAAGGAGGAAAUACCUGCUUGGCUCCAGGACACCCACAUUGCCAGGCUGGGGCUGACGGCUGGUGGGCAAGGCCAGACAGGCCCCAGGGAAGGCUGUGGCCAGGACCCUGGGCUGAGUCCCCAUCAUUCAUCCUCUCUGGGAUCCUGGCUGGGGUGGGGAGAGAAGUCAAGCCUAUAACCAUUCCUGCCAAACUCCUGCUGGGGAAAUGCCAGCCUGGGCUGGGGAUGGAUCCUGGGGCCCAGCAGCUGGAACCUGGGGUGAGCCUCUCAGCGUCCCCAGCACCAGCUGGAGGUCACACAGGACAGGCUGCGUAGAUGCGGAAUAAGCUGCGUGCGUUGCUGGUCUGAGCCGAGGCGGGGCUGUGGGAAGACUGUGUUUGCAAGGAUAAGCGACAAACAACAAUAAAAGUCAUAUACCAUAGCUCAGGGUAACAACAGGCGCUGCUGAGUCUAAACUUCCUUGGUUUGUGUGGGCUGCAGCUGAAGAGGCCUGAGGCAGCCUGAGACUGAGUGACACAGAAGGCACUUCUGGCGUGGACAUGUCAGAACUUCAGUCAUGCUGGGCAUUGUGUUGCCAUGGGACACGGGGGCUAGGCCCCCAACUGACGGUCCCAGGGGCCCCGGGAUUCCUGCACCUGGGGAAGGCAAAGGGGAGGAAUGAGAGCUUCUGCCACCAUUUCACAAUUCUUGAGCCAGGUCACUCCGUUGGGCCUGCUUCCCCGGAGUAAAGGGCAGAGGGGCUGGGAAUGCAGGGACCAGAAUGAGCUCUGGCCUUAGAGCAACAAGUUACCAAACGGAGCCAAGUGACAUCUCUGCAGAGUUCUCACCCUUUGUCCACAGCUGGGACUCACCGCUGGGAGGGUGGCACAGACCCAUCUCCCGUCUGUGCAGGAGAGUGAGCCCGAGGCCCCUCUGUCCCCAGUUUCAGCCUCCAGCAGUCGCACCCCAUCCUCACUGAUGACCAGGCUGCAAACCCUGGAGUUGCCUUAACCCUCCGAAGAGUUAGGGGGACAUGUUAAUGAACACGUGUUCAUCCAGGAAAACAGGCUGUGCUGUGACAGUAACUGUGGGGUGGUGAUACGGGAUGACUUUGGAAGUGCUGGGCAGAGGCCCUAGGCCCUUUCCCAGGCAGGGUGAUGAGAAUGAGUGUCAUCUGAAGAGUGCGGGAGGUGCAUUCCAUGCAGAUGUGUCAUCGAGAGUAAAGAACAUGAGUGUGGACUCACAGAUAGAGAACAAACUAGUGGUUACCAGUGGGGAGAGGGAAGUGGGGAGGGGCAAGAUAGGGGUAGGAGAACAAAGGGUUAUUACGGGAUUAUAUGAAAUCAUGUGUGUUAAACUUUUUUUAAUAAAUACAUUUGUUUAUUCAUUUA